GUUGAUUAAUUGUUAAAUUAAUUAUAGUUGCUGUUAUGUUUUUUCUUCUAUUUUUGGUAAAAAAGUUUUAUUCUUGCUUGAAUGUUUAUUUUUUCUUUGUAUUAUAUGUAAGUUUUGUUGUGCUAAAUGUUCUUAUUGCAGUAAUUAAAUUUAAUUAUCAAUUAACUUUGGAAUUAGUAAUUGAAUUAAUAUCAGCAUAUUUCGUGCCAGCAGCUGCGGUUAUACGAUUGAUGUAAAUGAAUAUUUUUGGUUAUUAGCAGUUAAUUUUAUUUUGAGUUAAUUUUAAAUUUUUUAGGGUGAAAUUUAAAUUUUUAAUAUUACUCUUAUUAUGAACCUGUGAGACUUAAAUAAUAAACUAGGAUUAGAUACCCUAUUAUAUUAAGUGUUAAAUAUUGUUUACCUGAGUAGUAUUAGUUAAUUUCUUGAAACUUAAAGAAUUUGGCGGUAUCUUAUCCCAUUCAGAGGAGCCUACCCCGUAAUUGAUAAUACACGAUUAACUUUACUUAAUUUAUUAGUUUGUAUAUCUCCGUUAUCAGAAAAUUUUUUUAGAGUUAUAAUUUUCUUUAUUUUUAAUUAUAAAAUAUUUCAGGUCAAGUUGCAGCUUAUAAUUAAGAGGAGGUGGGUUACAAUAGAUUUUUGUUUAUAUGGAUUUAAUAAUGCAAUAUUAUUAAUGAAGGUGGAUUUGAUAGUAAUUUAAUUAAUUAAAUUUGUUUGAUAUUGGCUCUAAGGUGUGUACAUAUCGCCCGUCGCUCUCAUUAUUGAAUAUAAAUUAUAUUUAAUAAGUUGAGAUAAGUCGUAACAUAGUAGAUGUACUGGAAAGUGUAUCUAGUAAGUUUAAG
rnacentral:ncRNA from 1 species